CGGGACACGUGGUAUCCUGUCUGAAUAUGGGGGGACCAUCCUCCAAGGCUAAAUACUCCUGACUGACCGAUAGUGAACCAGUACCGUGAGGGAAAGGCGAAAAGAACCCCGGCGAGGGGAGUGAAAAAGAACCUGAAACCGUGUACGUACAAGCAGUGGGAGCACGCUUAGGCGUGUGACUGCGUACCUUUUGUAUAAUGGGUCAGCGACUUAUAUUCUGUAGCAAGGUUAACCGAAUAGGGGAGCCGAAGGGAAACCGAGUCUUAACUGGGCGUUAAGUUGCAGGGUAUAGACCCGAAACCCGGUGAUCUAGCCAUGGGCAGGUUGAAGGUUGGGUAACACUAACUGGAGGACCGAACCGACUAAUGUUGAAAAAUUAGCGGAUGACUUGUGGCUGGGGGUGAAAGGCCAAUCAAACCGGGAGAUAGCUGGUUCUCCCCGAAAGCUAUUUAGGUAGCGCCUCGUGAAUUCAUCUCCGGGGGUAGAGCACUGUUUCGGCAAGGGGGUCAUCCCGACUUACCAACCCGAUGCAAACUGCGAAUACCGGAGAAUGUUAUCACGGGAGACACACGGCGGGUGCUAACGUCCGUCGUGAAGAGGGAAACAACCCAGACCGCCAGCUAAG
rnacentral:rRNA from 1 species